rnacentral:lncRNA from 10 species
CUUUCACUUAGUAGAGAAGGCAGAAAUCAGAAUUCUGUGCUGCUUACGUAGCUUCAACUGAUGAGGCAGAAAAGAAAAAAACGAGCAAAAUGAGGACUCAAAAGUCUGCACGGCCCUGGUCCAUGAUUGAUCCAGCAUAUGCAAGGUGAAUUUUCAUAACGUAUAGCAGAGUAGCUGCCACAGCACUGAGAGCGGAAUAGAGACACAACACAGUGAGCAGAACAGGAAAAUGUUGGAAUUCUGGCUCAAUCAUGGUAGGCAAACUUCACCAAAGAACUUGGUCACUUAGCUGAGACUUCAGAAAGAAUAAGUGGUCAGAACUGUACUCUAUAGUAAAUAAUAUGCUCUAAGACCAAGAGAAAAUAAAAAAUACAUCAGCUGUAACAAAUAAUAAAUUAAACCUAAAAUGAUCAAGAAGAUCUGCUAUUAAUUAAGCUGCCUGCGAGAAGAAAAUUCAACACUAUUAAAUGCCCCGGUGUGUGAUGUUCCCCUUCCUGUCUCCAAGUGUUCAGAGGAUUUUGAACAACAGUCAAAAGAAAUGGAGGUCUGCUAAUGAUCCUCUGAACAAGUUUGGAAGGAGAUUCUUCAGCCCCAUUUGAGCUUUGAGAUGAUCGCAGCUUUAUCUGACAGCUUAAUUAUAGUCUCAUGAAAGACCCUGAGCCACAACUACCCAUUUAAGCUGCUCUUGGAUUCC